AUCACUUCUCUGCCCUUUGAUUAAGCUCAUGUGUAGUGUCUAUUCUUAUCAAUAUAAUCUCUACUACAUCCUCUAUCCCAGGACCACAUAUUAAAUAGAUUUCUGGAGCCGGGAGUUAAACGAAGAGCUUGCUCUGCCCAUUGUAUGCAUUGACCUAGUAUUGCAGUACUUCCAAGAAUGGUGCACACAUC